rnacentral:rRNA from 1 species
CCUAUGGGAGGCAGCAGUGGGGAAUCUUCCACAAUGGACGAAAGUCUGAUGGAGCAACGCCGCGUGAGUGAAGAAGGCUUUCGGGUCGUAAAGCUCUGUUGUUGGUGAAGAAGGACAGGGGUAGUAACUGACCUUUGUUUGACGGUAAUCAAUUAGAAAGUCACGGCUAACUACGUGCCAGCAGCCGCGGUAAUACGUAGGGGGCAAGCGUUAUCCGGAUUUACUGGGUGUAAAGGGAGCGCAGGCGGUGCGGUAAGUCUGAUGUGAAAGCCUUCGGCUCAACCGGAGAAUUGCAUCAGAAACUGUCGAGCUUGAGUGCAGAAGAGGAGAGUGGAAUUCCAUGUGUAGCGGUGAAAUGCGUAGAUAUUAGGAGGAACACCAGUGGCGAAGGCGGCUUACUGGACGGUAACUGACGUUGAGGCUCGAAAGCGUGGGGAGCAAACAGGAUUAGAUACCCUGGUAGUCC